CUAAAGGGCAUUUGGUGGAUGCCUUGGCAUGCACAGGCGAUGAAGGACGUAAUACGCUGCGAUAAGUCACGGGGAGCUGCGAAUAAGCUUUGAUCCGUGAAUUUCCGAAUGGGGAAACCCAACCGUAAGGUUAUCUUGCACUAAAUACAUAGGUGUAAGAGGCAAACCCGGGGAACUGAAACAUCUAAGUACCCGGAGGAAAGGACAUCAACCGAG
rnacentral:rRNA from 1 species